rnacentral:ncRNA from 1 species
GGCCCAAAACUUGCUCAGCCACUGCCUAGAGGGCCAUCAACGUCGAUGCCCCCCGACAUUCCACGACAAAGGCGCCGU